GGGCGGGGAGGCUGCUGGGGUUGAAGUGAGCAAAAGAAUGAUGGCCGUGCUUCCGGCCCCGGGCUGAAAUGGGCUAUUAUGUGUCAUCAGGAAACUUAAGAAGGGGGGAAAAAACAACCUCUGAUCAAAGUCCCUUUUGUCAACUUCUAACAGAUUAAUAGAUGACAGAUUUUGCACUUAGAGCUCUACUGCAAGGUCAAGGGCACUGAAAUGGGGCUUGUUGGGACUUUUUUCUUCUUUCGUUCAGCUUCUAGGUUGCAGAACUCAUCAUUCUGACAGCCUGCCUGCCUGAAAUGGCUCGAAGAAGACAUACAUCAAAGCAGUGCCAGUAUCAACUCCUUUGGAAAGCCCAUCUGAGCCCCCUGCCCUGCCCUCCCAGACAAAGGAGGCUCAUCAUCCCCACUUGGCUGUUUACAGAGACCAGCAUGCUGCCCGUCAUGGAACAGGGGCUUCCUGUUACAUAGAGACAGAACUCGUGACUUGCUGCGAACCAACAGGCCAGGAUAAAGAAUGAGAGAUCCUCCUUGCCUGCUUGAUGAAGGCAGCAGCCAUGUUUUGGAAGACACAUAGCGAGGAACAGAAGGUGGGCAGCUCUAGGACAGCCUCCAGCUCCCAGCCAGCAAAAAGCAAGGUCCUUGGUCAUACAGCCUCAAGGAAUGAAUUCAGCCACAACCUGAGUGAGCUUAGAAUUGGAUCCAUCCCAGCUGAGCCUCCCAAUGAGAAUGCAAUCCAGCCAAGACCUUGACUGUGAACCUGUGGGAUCUGACACAGAAGACCCAGCUAAGCUAUUCCUGGUCUCCUGAUCCAUGAAAACUGUGAGAUAAUAAAUGUUUGUGUUGUUUUAAGUUACUACCUUUGAUCUACUCUGCUACUCAGUGGUUAACAAACUGAUAGAUGGCUCUUAAAGACACAUGCUUUGGGAUCUGGAAGUCCCAAGUAAUCUGGGGGAAAUUCAGUUUCACUCUAAUCAGUCAAUGCAUUGGCAGGAAAUUUUUGCCAGCCAACUCAUAGCAAGACUUCAGAACAAGGGCUUGGAGAGUGAAAACGGGGCUAGGCCUGGGGAGAGUGAGAGAGAGGCUUAGAAAAAUGAGAGUCACACAGUCAGACAGGGAACAGGUAGAGCCCUGGGCCUGAAGUCAGGUUCUGGGUUCCAGACUUUGCAGAUGGUUUGCUAGUAGGCUUUGGGCAAAGCAGCCUCUGUCUGGGUCUCUGUGAUCUCAUCUGCAGGCCAAGUGGUAUAAACAGUCUGAGCUCCACAGCUCCCUCUGGCUCUGGCUUUCUCAGUGAAUGGCAAUUCAAGUUUGCCAAGGAACUCUACAGCUUAGAGU
ensembl:lncRNA